UAGAGACAGGGUUUCACCAUGGUGACCAGGAUGGUCUCAAUCUCUUGACCUCGUGAUCCACCCGCCUCGGCGUCCCAAAGUGCUGGGAUUACAGGUGUGAGCCACUGCACCUGGCCCAAGACAGAGGCAUUUUAAUCACGAUGAUGCUUAAAUCAUGUUAUCUGCCAUAUCAUGUGAUUCGGAAGAAUUCUAAACAUUGCCCUCCUGAUGGUGCCUUUAGACUUCAAUGGAAACAUUCACUCUACUUGUGUCUUGAAGCUGCUUGUUAUUGGACUGGAAUUUACACCAUUGGCUCUCCUGGUUAUCAGGCCUUCAGACUUGGACUGAAACUGCAUAUUGGAAUUCCAGGACUUAAAAUUUGCUGACUACAGAUCUUGGGGCUUCUCUGCCUCCAAAAUUCAUGUGAACCAAUUACUUAUAAUAAAUCUCUUUAUAUCUGAUAUAGAUAGAUAUAGAUAUAAAUUCUAUUGGUUCUGUUUCUCUGGAGAAUCCUGACUAAAACAGAUUUUGGUACUAGGAGUGGGAUGCUGCUAUAAAAAAUACUUAAACAUCUGGAAGUGGUUUUGGAAAUGGGUAAUACAUGAUAGAAGAUUUUUGAGGUAUAUGCUAGAAAUAUGAACAUUAAUUGAGUCUAGUGAAGUCUCAAAAAUAAAUGAGGAACAUAUUGGAAACUAAUAUUAGAGCAUAUUAGAAACUAUCCUUAUUAUAAACUAGCAAAGACCAUGGCUGAUCUGUGUUCUAACGCUUUGUGGAAGGUGGACUUUGUGAGCAAUAGAAUUGGGUAUUUAGCUGACGUGAUUUCUAAGCAAAGUAUUGAAGAGGCAGUUUAGUGCCUCCUGACUCCUUAUAGAACAAUACAAGAAGAGAGAGAUGAAUUGAAGAAGGAAUUGCUAAGCAGAAAAAACCAGAACUUGGAGGUUUGAAUAUUUCUUAACCUUUGCAAGUUGCAAAAAGUCAGAAAGCUUGUUCUGAAGAGAACAUUAAAGAUAUGGCUGAACAACCAUUUGACAAAGAAAUCAUGGGUGAGAACAAGGACUUUACCAGCCAUCUCAACAGAAACCAAAAAUAGAGAUGAGAUUAUACCAGCCAAAACUGCCAGUUUAAACUAAAGAGAAAAAGACAGAGUGAAAGGAAGGAAGGCUGUUGGACUACUUAAAUUUGACAAGAUGGAACAAUAAAAUUAUUUACUAGAAAUGUGCCCUAUUCAUCAAGAAAAGGGAAAAAUGACCCUGAAAGCAAUUCAGAGAUCAUCAGGGCCACUAUCUUCAUUUCAACAAGUCAGGCUUUUUCCAGAGCAUUGAGGGGAAUAUCACUCUGCCAGAGCCCUGCCUUUGUUCAGCAAAGCCUCAGGGGCACAAUACCUAACGCAUGGGUCCAAAGGGCAGGUUUAUGGCCCCGGUGGGUCCAGGAGGUAGAAAAUAUAACCAAAUAAGAGUAUUCUUCAACCAUAAGAUUUACUGGAAUUUGCCUUGCCAAGUUUUAGACUGCUUGGAACCUAUCACCCCUUCCUUCUUUCCUAUCUUUCCUCUUUGGAAUGGGAAUGUCUAUCCUAUGCCUGUCCCACUAAAGUAUUUUGGAAGCGCAUAACUUCUCUGGUUUCAUAGUUUCAGAAGUGAUAAAUAAUUUUGCCUCAGGUUGAAUUGUACUUCAAGUCUCACCCAUAUCAAAUUUGGAUGAUAUUUAGAUGAGCCUUUGGACUUUACACUUUAGAGGUCAUGCUGAAAUAAGUUAGGACUUUUGGUGCCAUUGAGGUGGAAUGAGUAUAUUUUGCAUGUAAGGACAAAAAUUGGGGGUUGCUGGGCAGAAUGUUAAUGAGUGAAUAUGUUCUAGAAAAAGCGCAUUGAAGGAGAGAAAAAUGUGUGAAAAAGAGGGCAAUCCAUGGUGAAAGGUCAGCGGUUUAUAAGCCAGAGAUGAACUAAACAGAUCUGUUUUUGUAUAGCAUAAGUUUAAUAUGCUGGGAAAUGCUCCUUUGCUUUGGUUGGUGGUGUGGGGGGCAGAUAAUUUAGACAGAAGAAAACAAAGGUUCAUUUAGCACUUGGAGGUACCAAGUGUUGGCCUCUUUUUUUUUUUCUAAAAUACUAAACAAAAGUGUGAUGUCACACACAUCUUACUGAACUGAGUAACUGUGGGAGUCCAUGGUGACCUUAACAUUUGAAUUCACACUCCUACUCAGUGGGUGGCUUUUUCCAGAACAAAGAGUUUUUUUUAAACAUAUAUGCUACAAAGCACAGCAAGGUUUCAGGAAAAGGAUAUGUGACAAUUGAAGAGGGUGCCUAUGCAGAAAAAUUAACUAUAUGGUGAUUUAAGGAGGAAGCACACACAGUUGUUGUACUGGCUAUAAUAUAAUCCAUGUUUAUCUAAUUCCCAAAGAACAAUGAAUCGCAUGAUAGUUGUAAAUACUGGGCUUUUUGUUUUAUAAUACCCCAAACAAAUGUGUUACCCUUUUGCCUGUGAAUAAGAAUGUAUAUUAAUAAUCUCUUGGUCUAAAAAUUGUACUAGUAGGUCAAAAAUAAAGGACUAAAUACCCAGGAAAGAUAUACCCAAAAUAAAUAUAACCUAGAAAAAUGAAAAAGUGUAAUGUCUGCUUUCUUUUGUUUUGUUUUUCAAUUCUUUCUUGCUAAAAAGAAUUAUCAUUAUCACCUACAGAAUUCAAAAGACACUCUUGAAUUUUUUACAAUAUUCUAUGUCAAAGCAAGAUCAUGAUAUCCCAGCUGCACAGUGUACUCUAGAAUCUGGCUCCUAGAGAAUUUCUGAUACCUAGAAAAGCAGACAG
ensembl:lncRNA